AAAAAAAAGGAAAGGGGCAACGUCCCCACUUUACACACUAAGACAGACUGGUACAGAGCUCAAGUUUGACUCUGUCUCUCCCCAUCUCUCUCUGUCUCAUUCAGAUGGGGCCUCCAGCUCCAGGCCGGGUCACUGCUCUACAGGCUUUCCUACCCAGUGGAAGCUGUGUGUGCGCGCACACGUCUGAGUGCUGUGAGCACCCCCGCUGCACUUUGGGGUGUGGGGAAGUGUAUGCCUGUCCCCGAGCUUCCUGGGAACACGAAAGCACCGUGCUCAUGAGCACCUGGGUGGUGCCCACUCCCUGCCCCCUGCCCCUUGCCCCUCAGUGCCUCCACCACUCGUGGCGAGCGUGAGGAGGGAGCUGGCCCAUCCUGUCACACAGCCUGCAGCAAGAGAGCACUGUGGCGUGGGUGGGCCACUUUGUGCGGUGGCCUGAGAUAGUUGCUCACCACUGGCUCUGGACCCUCAGACCCGUGAUCCCAAAGGGGAAACAGGAAGAGGCCUCUUUGCUUCUGGCUCUUCUCAGUAAGUUCCCCUCCCUUGUGUCCCUCCCAGCUGACUUCCUCAAGGCAGCUCGAGGAGAAGGGCCAUUGUUCUGAGGCCCAGAAAGUUGCAGAGACUGGCUACAUGACCCUGGGCAAGUCACUUACCUUCUGGGGGCCAAUUUCUCCCUCUCACCCUGAGGGAAGGGGAGCGGCUGGAUAAGAAACCCUCCAGGGCAGCCACACUCCACCUGACUUCCUUCUCCCAGUGCUCGUCUUGAGGCCAAGUGCCUGGUGACCAAACCCCAAUCUGCAUCGGACCCCUGCUGCAGGUGCAUGUGACCUGAACGCACCCCUGCGCACCUGCUAAGUGCCAGAUGCUGAAGCAAGCGCCCUGCAUACCUUCUCUCACUCAAGCCCCAGAGCCCCUUGUGAGGUCUGCGUGAAUGCCCCCGUGUGAUAGAAUGAGGUUCAGAGAGGUUAUGUGACUUACCUAAGGCCACACAGAUUUAUGGGGAACCAAAGGCACCCCUGGCCAGGGUGGAAGGAGGGUCUGGACCAGAGCAACAAGAGGGCUGCCCCGUCCUUCGAGUGUAGAAAUAGGGGUAAUAGAGGGCCAGGUAGCAGCACUUAAUUGGGGAAUUAGGGUCUGGGUGUGUGGCUACCUUAUGCUAGCUGGUUUGGGGAUUUCUCUGGGUCUGUGAGCUUCUCCCCCCUCCCACAGAAAACACUUCCUGUUUCUGAACCGACAGAGCCCCCUCCCAGGAUGGCUGCCUCCAUUUACCCUAACACAACAAGGGCCCCAGGCUGUCCCUCCCUGGGCACUAGGGGAGGGCAGAUGGGUCAGGAAGGACUGCUUGGCCACUGACCACUCUGUGCUCAGCCCCGGCCCCUGGGGAGUUUGGUGCAGCCCCAGGCAGGCAGGCCGCACCCUCCCACCCAGUCACCGUUGUCUACUGGGAGGGGCUCAGCUGGGAGAGGACUGGUCCCUACUCUGCUGGUCCCUGUCCCUCUCUGCAACCUGGGGGUCUCCCACACACAGACCUAGAGAGGCAGCAGGAGCAGACAUGUCUGGGGAGCUGCGGGGUAGCAUAUCUGGGUUUGAGUCCUGCCAGGGAUAGGUUAUAGCAGAUUAGGCUCUGGGUGUCACCCGACCUGAUUCUAAGCCCAGCACUGCAGCUCACAAACCGUGUGGCUAUGGGCAAAUCACUUCACCUCUCUGAGCCUUGAUUUCCUCGUCUUUGGAAUAGGGGGAAUAGUUGGGCCAAACUCAUUGGGGUUUUCUGAGAAUUAAAUGAGUUAAUAAUGCAAAGCACUUAGUCUGGCUAAUGGCACAGAGAAAGCGGGCAGUCAGUAUUGGCUAUUACUGUUGCAUUGACCCCUCAGGGUCAUGGUUCUCUUUAACAGGGCAGCAUUCCUGGUUUAGGCCUCAUGUGGUUGCUAUGACGAGCCCCCGUAGCAAGGCCCUGCAGGGAACAUGUUAGCUUUCCCUAACCCCUCCAUUUCCUGUGUCUGUGAAAUGGAGAGAGUAAGAACCCUGCCACCCACUGUCUAUAAUGCCACAGGGUGAGGGGCUCCUGGGUGGCUCAGUUUGUUAACUGUCCGACUCUUGAUUUUGGCUCAGGUCAUGAUCUCACAGUUCACGAGUUCAAGCCCCAUGUCGGGCUCUGUGCUGACAGUGCGGAAACUUCUUGGGAUUCUCUGUCUCCCUCUCUCAGUCCCUCCCCAGCUCACUCUCUCUCUCUCAAAAAUAAAUAAAUAAACAUUUAAAAAAAAUUAAAGGUCCCAGGAUGGGAUGUGAAAAUGCUAGGAAUGAAAAAUGAGAUCACAAAUAGGCCUACCAUCCAAGUAUCACUUUUUAGUUAAGGCCUACAGAGGGACAGUGACUGGCCCAAGGUCACAUAGGAGUUACAAAGGUCUAGGGUUACAAAGUCAGUUCUUGUGACUCCAGCUCUUCCUUUUUGGUCAUUAAGGGCUGAGCAGAGAAAAGUGCCUGGAAAUGUUUCUUGGAUGAGGAUCUAAUAGCCAUAGCAUGGGAUCAUGGCCUUGAAAUCUGGAUAUGAUCCAGAAGGUUGCAGGGGAUUUGAGCAUUUGGGGAAACCCGCUUGUCAACCGUGGGAGCCCCACCCUGGCAGACGGUGGUGGUGAGAGAGGCCCAAGGAUCUGUCCUGUCAAGGGACUGGUGGCAGUGCUGGUCGGAGGCUGUGGGGCAGCUUUGGGAGCACAAUGUCAAGGCUCAUCCUGGUUGGCCAGGUCCUUCUUGCUGUGCCCACCAAUACCUUCUUCCUGACCUCUCCCCAGGGAGUGAAUGGCUGGUGUGGCCGAUCUCCGGGCACAUUAGGGUCCGGGGCCCCCAUGAUCAGACAUCACAAAGGCCAGGUCUCGUGGCAGCAGGACCUAUGGAUGAAGUCAAGCAGGACCCCUCAUUGGGGACCAGUAGGCGAGCUGUACCCAGGCUGGCAGCCAGCUUCCCUCCCCCUGGGUGGCCCAGAACUGCCUACAACAGAGCCCUCCAAGCCAGAGUCAAGUUCACAGCUCCGGGUCUAGUUCACAGUGGCUUUCAUGUGUGGCCCCUCACGUUAUCCCCGCCACAGCCACAAUGUGUGAAGCCGGUACUACUGGGAUGGCCCCAGUCUUACAGAUGAGCCACUAAGUGACGUCAACCCAGAAACGAGGUGUGGCACAGAUGGGUACUUAAGGACAAGCGAUGGGAGCAGAGAACUUGACGUAGACCCUGCAGGGGGACUCCGGGAAGCCAUGAGGUCUUCUUCAAAGGGUCCCCCCCGCCCACUUCCAGGUAAAAAGCAUUUGAUAAUCCCUGUGCUGGGGACUCACCAGUGUGGGGAGUGCGGGGGAAGGCAGUGGGGUUGAGGGGGGUCUUUUUUCUCUCUCUGCCCGCCUCUGCUCCUGUGCCAGCUCCAAGACAAUCCCGGACA